rnacentral:lncRNA from 1 species
CACUAGAGAUGUCAACGGGUCGGAUUCCGGGCGGAUUUUGAAAAACCCGAAUCCGAACCCCACUCCAAACCCGACACCCGAACCCGAACCCGAACCCGAACCCGACGGAUUUUAAAAAUCCAUAUCCAAUCCCGAACGCGACCAAAAAUUCGAAACCCGAACCCGAAUCCGAACCCGAACCCGAAAAUUUGAAUCCGAAAUAAUUAUUUCUUUUUUCAAUAUUUCAAAAUAUAUUAUAUUAAACCUAAAUUUUUAAAAUACAAAUUCAAAUAUAACAUCAAAUUUUUAUAUAUAUAUUAUAUAUAAUACAAAAUAAAUUCGGGUUCGGGUCGGGUUCGGGUUCGGGUCGGGUACAAUUAAAAUCCAUAUCAAAUUCGGGUUCGGGUCAGGUUCGAGUUCAGAUCGGGUACAAUUAAAAUCCAUAUCCGAAUUCAUAUCCGUCGGGUUUCUAUUUUUGAUAUCCAUAUCCGAAUCCAUAUCC